CGGGACAUAGUAUAGUGGUAGUAUACACGCUUUGGGAGCGUGAGACUUGGGUUCGAUUCCCAAUGUCCCGA
rnacentral:tRNA from 1 species